rnacentral:rRNA from 1 species
GUGCCAGCCGCCGCGGUACUACCGGCAGCUCAAGUGAUGUCCCAUAUUAUUGGGCCUAAAGCGUCCGUAGCUGGCCGACCAAGUCUCCCGGGAAAUCCACCCGCCCAACGGGUGGGCGUCCGGUAGAACCUGGCCGGCUUGGAACCGGAAGGCUCAGAGAGUACGUCCGGGGUAGGAGUGAAAUCCCGUAAUCCUAGACGGACCGCCGAUGGCGAAAGCACGUCGCGAGAACGGAUCCGACAGUGAGGGACGAAAGCCAGGGUCUCCAACCGGAUUAGAAACCCGGGUAGUCC